CCUACGGGUGGCAGCAGUGGGGAAUAUUGGACAAUGGGCGAAAGCCUGAUCCAGCCAUGCCGCGUGUGUGAAGAAGGCCUUCGGGUUGUAAAGCACUUUCAGUGGGGAAGAAAGCCUUGGGGCUAAUACCCUCGAGGAAGGACAUCACCCACAGAAGAAGCACCGGCUAACUCCGUGCCAGCAGCCGCGGUAAUACGGAGGGUGCGAGCGUUAAUCGGAAUUACUGGGCGUAAAGCGCGCGUAGGCGGUCUGAUAAGCCGGUUGUGAAAGCCCCGGGCUCAACCUGGGAACGGCAUCCGGAACUGUCAGGCUAGAGUGCAGGAGAGGAAGGUAGAAUUCCCGGUGUAGCGGUGAAAUGCGUAGAGAUCGGGAGGAGUACCAGUGGCGAAGGCGGCCUUCUGGACUGACACUGACGCUGAGGUGCGAAAGCGUGGGUAGCAAACAGGAUUAGAUACCCGGGUAGUC
rnacentral:rRNA from 1 species